rnacentral:rRNA from 1 species
UACGGAAGGCAGCAGGGGGAAUAUUGCACAAUGGGCGCAAGCCUGAUGCAGCCAUGCCGCGUGUAUGAAGAAGGCCUUCGGGUUGUAAAGUACUUUCAGUCGUGAGGAAGGUGUUAAGGUUAAUAACCUUAGCAAUUGACGUUAGCGACAGAAGAAGCACCGGCUAACUCCGUGCCAGCAGCCGCGGUAAUACGGAGGGUGCGAGCGUUAAUCGGAAUUACUGGGCGUAAAGGGCACGCAGGCGGUUAAUUAAGUUGGAUGUGAAAUCCCCGGGCUUAACCUGGGAAUGGCAUUCAAGACUGGUUAGCUAGAGUCUUGUAGAGGGGGUAGAAUUCCAUGUGUAGCGGUGAAAUGCGUAGAGAUGUGGAGGAAUACCGGUGGCGAAGGCGGCCCCUGGACAAAGACUGACGCUCAUGUGCGAAAGCGUGGGGAGCGAAAC